rnacentral:rRNA from 1 species
GACGAACGCUGGCGGCGUGCUUAAUACAUGCAAGUCAACGAUUUUAAGAUAGCAAUAUUUUAAAAUAGUGGCGCACGGUGAGUAACACGUAGAUAAUCUGCCUUUAGGUCUGACAUAACUCGUCGAAAGACGGGCUAAUAUCAGAUAAACAAUAACUUGGCAUCAAGUAAUUGUCAAAGCUUCGGCGCCCAAAGAUGAGUCUGCGGACCAUUAGGUAGUUGGUGGAUUAACAGCCCACCAAGCCAACGAUGGAUAGCUGGUCUGAGAGGAUGAUCAGCCACACUGGAACUGAGACACGGUCCAGACUCCUACGGGAGGCAGCAGUAAGGAAUAUUGCUCAAUGGGAGAAAUCCUGAAGCAGCAACGCCGCGUGAAGGAAG